rnacentral:rRNA from 1 species
UACACUCCUACGGGAGGCAGCAGUGGGGAAUUUUGGACAAUGGGCGAAAGCCUGAUCCAGCAAUGCCGCGUGAGUGAAGAAGGCCUUCGGGUUGUAAAGCUCUUUUGUCAGGGAAGAAACGGUGCAAGCUAAUAUCUUUUGCUAAUGACGGUACCUGAAGAAUAAGCACCGGCUAACUACGUGCCAGCAGCCGCGGUAAUACGUAGGGUGCAAGCGUUAAUCGGAAUUACUGGGCGUAAAGCGUGCGCAGGCGGUUUUGUAAGUCUGAUGUGAAAUCCCCGGGCUCAACCUGGGAAUUGCAUUGGAGACUGCAAGGCUAGAAUCUGGCAGAGGGGGGUAGAAUUCCACGUGUAGCAGUGAAAUGCGUAGAUAUGUGGAGGAACACCGAUGGCGAAGGCAGCCCCCUGGGUCAAGAUUGACGCUCAUGCACGAAAGCGUGGGGAGCAAACAGGAUUAGAAACCCUUGUAGUCCCA